UGUGGCUGUGAGGGUAAUUACAGGCAGUGGCCCCUAGAGGCAAUAUAUAAAGAUCAAGGUGCUCGCUGGCCAGGAUGGGCAUCUUCUGGUCCUUGGAACCGCCCACUUCCGGUUGUGGACUUCCAGGUUGCCUUACAGCUCUGGAUAACCAAACAAAUGGCAAUCGCGUCUGAGCUUGAAUAAAGCCCCUGCAUUUCGCGUGCCGCUAUUCUGUUCCUCUCAAGUGACAAACAGUCGGCCAGGGACUUUCUGGUGCUCCCGCUAAUAUUGGAGCAGCUGCUGUUUAUUUAAUCUGAAUUUCUGGACGACUUCACGUUCACUUGCUCUUCACUACGCUGUGUACGUCGAGGAUUCUGCUGGGGUGGCUCUCGCCGCAACGUCCGUCGGAGGUGCAGGAGGAAGGUGUACCAGGGCACUCCCGGACUCUG